rnacentral:rRNA from 1 species
UAAGCCUGUGAAGGUGGCCUGUGAGGGUUGCUGGAGGUAUCAGAAGUGCGAAUGCUGACAUAAGUAACGAUAAAGCGGGUGAAAAGCCCGCUCGCCGGAAGACCAAGGGUUCCUGUCCAACGUUAAUCGGGGCAGGGUGAGUCGACCCCUAAGGCGAGGCCGAAAGGCGUAGUCGAUGGGAAACGGGUUAAUAUUCCCGUACUUGGUGUUACUGCGAAGGGGGGACGGAGAAGGCUAUGUUGGCCGGGCGACGGUUGUCCCGGUUUAAGCGUGUAGGUGUGUGUUCCAGGUAAAUCCGGUUCACUUUAACACUGAGGCGUGACGACGAGGCACUACGGUGCUGAAGCAACAAAUGCCCUGCUUCCAGGAAAAGCCUCUAAGCAUCAGGUAACAUCAAAUCGUACCCCAAACCGACACAGGUGGUCAGGUAGAGAAUACCAAGGCGCUUGAGAGAACUCGGGUGAAGGAACUAGGCAAAAUGGUGCCGUAACUUCGGGAGAAGGCACGCUGACACGUAGGUGAAGUGAUUUACUCAUGGAGCUGAAGUCAGUCGAAGAUACCAGCUGGCUGCAACUGUUUAUUAAAAACACAGCACUGUGCAAACACGAAAGUGGACGUAUACGGUGUGACGCCUGCCCGGUGCCGGAAGGUUAAUUGAUGGGGUCAGCGCAAGCGAAGCUCCUGAUCGAAGCCCCGGUAAACGGCGGCCGUAACUAUAACGGUCCUAAGGUAGCGAAAUUCCUUGUCGGGUAAGUUCCGACCUGCACGAAUGGCGUAAUGAUGGCCAGGCUGUCUCCACCCGAGACUCAGUGAAAUUGAACUCGCUGUGAAGAUGCAGUGUACCCGCGGCAAGACGGAAAGACCCCGUGAACCUUUACUAUAGCUUGACACUGAACAUUGAGCCUUGAUGUGUAGGAUAGGUGGGAGGCUU